CCUACGGGUGGCAGCAGUGAGGAAUAUUGGUCAAUGGCCGGAAGGCUGAACCAGCCAUGCCGCGUGAAGGUCAGUGCCCUUUGGGCGUUAAACUUCUUUUGUGCGGGAGCAAUAUUGGUCACGUGUGGCCAGACGAGUGUACCGUACGAAUAAGCAUCGGCUAACUCCGUGCGAGCAGCGGCGGUAAUAAGGGGGAUGCAAGCGUUUUCCGGGUUUAUUGGGUUUAAAGGGUGCGUAGGCUGUGAAGUAAGUCAGCGGUGAAAUGCCCCCGGUCAACGGGGUGAAGUGCCAUUGAUACUGCGUGGCUGGAAUGCGGAUGCGGUGGGAGGAAUGUGUGGUGUAGCGGUGAAAUGCAUAGAUAUCACACAGAACACCAGUUGCGAAGGC
rnacentral:rRNA from 1 species